rnacentral:rRNA from 1 species
UUAGAAGCUUGCUUCUAAAACAACCUAGCGGCGGACGGGUGAGUAACACGUAGGCAACCUGCCCAUYAGWCUGGGAUAACUACCGGAAACGGUAGCUAAUACCGGAUACAUCCUUUCCCUGCAUGGGGAGGGGAGGAAAGACGGAGCAAUCUGUCACUGAUGGAUGGGCCUGCGGCGCAUUAGCUAGUUGGUGGGGUAAUGGCCUACCAAGGCGACGAUGCGUAGCCGACCUGAGAGGGUGAUCGGCCACACUGGGACUGAGACACGGCCCAGACUCCUACGGGAGGCAGCAGUAGGGAAUCUUCCGCAAUGGGCGAAAGCCUGACGGAGCAACGCCGCGUGAGUGAUGAAGGUUUUCGGAUCGUAAAGCUCUGUUGCCAGGGAAGAACGUCUUGUAGAGUAACUGCUACAAGAGUGACGGUACCUGAGAAGAAAGCCCCGGCUAACUACGUGCCAGCAGCCGCGGUAAUACGUAGGGGGCCAGCGUUGUCCGGAAUUAUUGGGCGUAAAGCGCGCGCAGGCGGCUCUUUAAGUCUGGUGUUUAAUCCCGAGGCUCAACUUCGGGUCGCACUGGAAACUGGGGAGCUUGAGUGCAGAAGAGGAGAGUGGAAUUCCACGUGUAGCGGUGAAAUGCGUAGAUAUGUGGAGGAACACCAGUGGCGAAGGCGACUCUCUGGGCUGUAACUGACGCU